rnacentral:tRNA from 1 species
AAGGGAUUAGUUAAUCAAUAACAUCAGUAUGUCAAGCUGAAGUAAUCAAAAAUGAUAUCCCUUU